rfam:Citrus sinensis cultivar Ridge Pineapple sweet orange scaffold01079_contig_1, whole genome shotgun sequence.
AUACCAUGAUGAGGACAUCUCCUUAGUAACUCCUUAAAUCUCUCCCAUGCAUCACACAAGCUCUCAUCUUCAAGUUGAUGGAAAGAUGUGAUCUCGUUCCUCAACUU